rnacentral:lncRNA from 1 species
GAGAGUUUUAACCCCGCCCCCUUUCGGGAGCUCGAGAUCUGAGUUUUGACCCCGCCCCCUUUCGGGGGAUCCGGAGGCGCUGCCCAGUGACCUCCACCACCCUGCCUAUCCUUGUGGAUCUCCUUGGUGCGAGCUUGAAUUUUAGGAAAUAAGUAGGUGUGUGCGCGUGCCCUUGAGUUUUAGGAACUAAGUAGGGGCGUGUGUGUGUAUUUGUGUUUUUAAUUUGGGGAGAAAGAACUGGGGGAUGAAGGUCGACAUGGCGUUCCAGAUUAAGCAUGCCGUUCAAGUAGACAGCUACUGGCACCUUAAAUUCAUAAAAGAGCAUUUAGCACCAAACUGUAAAGUGAUGUCCUCUAGAAUAAAGAACAGUACUUACCAAGAAUAGUUAGCUUGUAACCUUACGUCGACAUAGUUGUUCUUAUUUGAAUGCAGAUUUUAAAGUUUUAUCACGCAGUUGGAAACCACAGCUACUAUGAGCAUGGAUUUUUUCAUACUUAUCUCUUUCAUUUCCGUGACCACUUGGUCCAAAGGCAUCAGGAUUGUAUCCAUUUUACAAAUGAUAAAACUGAAGCUCAAAAAGGUUAAGUAACUUGAUCUAAGUCCCCACAGCUAGUAAGUGUCAAAACCCCAUCCGAAUAACUUCAAAACCUGUAGGUAUAGUCAUCAAAUGUGUCUUGAAUGGAAUUACCUACAGUGAGAGUUAGUGCAUUAGGUAACAAGCGCAGAGAGGAAUGACUGCCUCUGCUGAUGGUAACCUUGAAUUUUACAAAUGACACUGGAGCCUUUCUGAGACUAGUGUUGCAUGGGUCCUCAAUAAAAUCACACUGUUGUUACUCACUUCCUUUGGGUUUAUAACCCUGGUGAUAAAGUAAUUGAGAAUAGUGGAGUAAACCCUCGACUUGAAUUCAGGAAAAUUGUUUUCAAAUCCAGUUUCAAUAAAUCUCACAUCAGGCACUCUAUUUGAUGAAUGAAUGAACAAAACCUAACUAUAAGACACUUGACUUCAGGGAGUCUCAAUUCCUUCAUCUGUAAAAAGAUCUAAUUCCUAACUUUUGGUAAUGUUGGGGAGAGUGAAUGAAAUAAUGUGAGAGUGCUUCGUAAAUUGCAAAAGUGUUAUAAAGAAGUUACUGGUAAGAGCUACGAGUGUCUCGCUGCACUCUAGCAUGGGCGACAGUGCGAGGCCCUGUCUCAGAAAAAAAAAAAGUUACUUAUAAUGACAUUUUCAGACAUGAGAAAUGGCAUAAAAUUAAAAACAGAUUCAAGAGAAUAGUAUGUUGAGAUUGUAGAGACAGAUGUAGCUAAUGGAAAAAAGCUAAAUAAGUCUCUCUACAGAUGUUUAUUGAGUACUUAUUGCAUAUACUAUGCUUGCCAAAAAAUGUAAAAGUGUACAUUUAGUUACAAUGAAGCAGCACAAGUUAUUAUUAGUGAUUAUUGUUAUAAUUAAGUAUUGAUCACACUUAGGGGCUGCAGUCUAUUUCCUUCCAAGAGCCUGGAAGUUGGGUUGCCCUCAGAAAUAAAUAAAAAUCUACAUAGAGGAAAUUAGCUAAGAGUGAUAUUAAGUAUAUUUAACAACAAGUAGUGCUCAAGCAUAGAUGAAGCAGAAUUAGAAAUGCAGCUAGGAUCCUGGAGGUAUACGUCUGUGCUAGGUGUUAACCCUUCAGUUGCUGGUUUGUGAAUAGGAGGUCCCAAGGGAUCCCAGGGGAAGGGAGUGGUCAGGAGGUUUGGGACAGCAGCUAUUUACCAGGUAGUACUAGAGUAUUUCAGUAUUUUAAUAGUCAAUGUUAUAACUGAUAACAGUCAAUUGAUACAUAUAAGCCUAAUAUUAGUCCUUGCUAUAGUCUUUAUUAUCAAUAGCCUCCGCCCUUCCCUUUCUAAAGCCGUUGCUAUCUGGCCUGUCCCUAGGAGAUUAGGGUGAAAGACUUCUCACCCUAAUGUCGUCAAGCUUGGCCUUGUUUUGACCAAUGAAAUAUGAGUAGAAAUGGCAUGAACCGGCCGGGCACGGUGGCUCACACCUGUAAUCCCAGCACUUUGGGAGGCCGAGGUGGGUGGAUGACGAGGUCAGGAGUUCAAGACCAGCCUGGCCAAGAUGGUGAAGCCCUGUCUCUACUAAAAAUAAAAAAAUUAGCCAGGUGUGGUGGCAGGCACCUGCAAUCCCAGCUACUCGGGAGGCUGAGGCAGGAGAAUUGCUUUAACCAGGGAGUUGGAGGUUGCAGUGAGCAAAUAUCACGCCACUGCACUCCAGCCUGGGCGACAGAGUGAGACUCUGUCUCAAAAAAAGAAAGAAAGAAAUGGCAUGAACCACUUCUGAGCAGAAAUUUAUGAGCUAUCUUACAAUUUUGCCAUAUUAUCUUUCCUCUGACACAAGAGCAGCAUGUCCUAAAUAGAGCUCCCUCUUCAGCUUUGGUCCCAGAAUGAAGAUGUGCAGAGCGACAGCUGACACACAUAACCUGUAAUGUUGUGUGAACAAUAAAUAAACCUUUGUUGUAAGCCACUGAGAUUGUUUUCGUUGUUACUGCAGCAUAACAUGCUAGCUAAGCAGACUAAUACAACCAUGAAAUUAGCUAUCCAUGGGGGUAAGCCAAGACCUUUUUUACAAACAUGACCAAACAAAACAAAACAAACUCUGAUAAAGGGCAUAUGGGAGGAACCUGAAGAAGGUAGAUAUUGUAAUUUAAUAAAUGGAACCUAAUCAAUCUCGUCAGCCAUUCUGUACCCUGUUUGGAGAGAGAUUCUGUGAACAAAAGGGCUUGCUCAGCCAUGGCAGCCCAAAACAAGGCAGUCACAAAGGCUAGCACUACCAUUGCCCCUCUAAGCCUCAUCUCAAUUAAGCCACACUGAGCAUUAGGAUUUCCUUGCCCGUGUCAUCUCUGUAGUGGAUGGGAAUAUCUCAGACUGCCUCAGCUAAGAAAUACUUCUUAAGAUCAACAUGCUUUCCUCUAUGUUCACCCAGCAAGUGUCUUGGCGAUAGGGACAGAAUUAAGUGAUCUGCCACCUAGAGUAUUCUAGUUCUUUUGAUCAUUGUAUUUUUCAUUGUAACUAAUCAGUUAGAUUCCUCUUUAUAUAAAAGUUUCUGUGAGCUUGGCAAAUACAAGACACCCCCUACCCCCAGGAAAUGGUUCAACUUUCUGCUUACUAUUAAAAUUAGGUUUCUGAGUUUGCAAGGUUAAACAUCAGUUCUUGUAUCAUGGUAAAUUCCUUAAGGUUAUAGCACUGUAUAACAGAACCUGUCUAGACAGCCAGCUGGACUUCCUUAAGCCACACCUCUCUAUCUCAUUGUGUACCUUUGGCCUAAAAGAAAAGCAGCGCUGGCCAGGCGUGGUGGCUCACACCUGUAAUUCCAGCACUUUG